rnacentral:rRNA from 1 species
UGGGGAAUAUUGCACAAUGGGGGAAACCCUGAUGCAGCGACGCCGCGUGAACGAAGAAGGUAUUCGUAUCGUAAAGUUCUGUCCUAUGGGAAGAUAAUGACAGUACCAUAGAAGAAAGCUCCGGCUAAAUACGUGCCAGCAGCCGCGGUAAUACGUAUGGAGCGAGCGUUGUCCGGAAUUAUUGGGCGUAAAGGGUACGCAGGCGGUUUAAUAAGUCGAAUGUUAAAGAUCGGGGCUCAACCCCGCAAAGCAUUGGAAACUGAUAAACUUGAGUAGUGGAGAGGAAAGUGGAAUUACUAGUGUAGUGGUGAAAUACGUAGAUAUUAGGAGGAAGACCAGUAGCGAAGGCGACUUUCUGGACACAAACUGACGCUGAGGUACGAAAGCGUGGGGAGCAAACAGG